rnacentral:rRNA from 1 species
AGAGUUUGAUCAUGGCUCAGAGCGAACGCUGGCGGCAGGCCUAACACAUGCAAGUCGAGCGCCGUAGCAAUACGGAGCGGCAGACGGGAGAGUAACACGUGGGAACGUGCCCUUCAGUUCGGAACAACCCAGGGAAACUUGGGCUAAUACCGGAUACGUCCGUAAGGAGAAAGAUUUAUCGCUGAAGGAUCGGCCCGCGUCUGAUUAGCUAGUUGGUGGGGUAACGGCUCACCAAGGCGACGAUCAGUAGCUGGUCUGAGAGGAUGAUCAGCCUCACUGGGACUGAGACACGGCCCAGACUCCUACGGGAGGCAGCAGUGGGGAAUAUUGGACAAUGGGCGCAAGCCUGAUCCAGCCAUGCCGCGUGGAUGAUGAAGGCCCUAGGGUUGUAAAGUCCUUUCGGCGGGGAAGAUAAUGACGGUACCCGCAGAAGAAGCCCCGGCUAACUUCGUGCCAGCAGCCGCGGUAAUACGAAGGGGGCUAGCGUUGCUCGGAAUCACUGGGCGUAAAGCGCACGUAGGCGGCUUUUUAAGUCAGGGGUGAAAUCCUGGAGCUCAACUCCAGAACUGCCUUUGAUACUGAGAAGCUUGAGUCCGGGAGAGGUGAGUGGAACUGCGAGUGUAGAGGUGAAAUUCGUAGAUAUUCGCAAGAACACCAGUGGCGAAGGCGGCUCACUGGCCCGGUACUGACGCUGAGAUGCGAAAGCGUGGGGAGCAAACAGGAUUAGAUACCCCCGUAGUCC